GAUGAACGCUGGCGGCGUGCUUAACACAUGCAAGUCGAACGGACAGACCCUGCUUUUGUGCGUUUCUCGAUUGCCGAACGCGUGAGUAACACGUGAGUAUCCUGCCCUUGUCUUUCGGAUAACUUCACGAAACUGGGGCUACUACCCGAUAUCAUCUCCUGCUCCAUGGUGGGCGUUGGAAAUUUUCGGCUGUUGUGGAUGGACUCGCGGCUUACGCGCUUGUUGGUGGGGUAGUGGCUUACCCAGGCUUUGACGGGUAGCCGGCCUGGGAGGGUUAACGGCGACAAGGGGACUGAGAUAGGGACCAGAAUGCUACGGGAGGCAGUAGUGGAGAAUAUUGCAGAAUGGGCGGAAGCCUGAUGCAGCAACGUCGCGUGCGGGAUGACGGGCUACGGGGGGUAAACCGCUUUGGACGGUGACGAAGCGUGAGUGACGGUAAUGGGUAAAGAAGCACCGGCUAACUACGUG
rnacentral:rRNA from 1 species